UGCCAGCCGCCGCGGUAAUACGGAGGGUGCAAGCGUUAAUCGGAAUUACUGGGCGCAAAGCGCGCGUAGGCGGCUAUUUAAGUCGGAUGUGAAAGCCCUGGGCUCAACCUGGGAACUGCAUUCGAUACUGGGUAGCUAGAGUAUAGGAGAGGAGUGUGGAAUUUCAGGUGUAGCGGUGAAAUGCGUAGAGAUCUGAAGGAACAUCAGUGGCGAAGGCGACACUCUGGCUUAAUACUGACGCUGAGGUGCGAAAGCGUGGGGAGCAAACAGGAUUAGAUA
rnacentral:rRNA from 1 species